UACGUAGGUGGCAAGCGUUGUCCGGAUUUACUGGGCGUAAAGAGCGCGCAGGCGGCUGGUCAAGUCCGAUGUGAAAGCUCCCGGCUUAACUGGGAAACGGCAUCGGAAACUGAUCGGCUUGAAGGUGGGAGAGGGUAGUGGAAUUCCCGGUGUAGUGGUGGAAAUGCGUAGAUAUCGGGAGGAACACCAGUGGCGAAGGCGACUACCUGGCCCACUCUUGACGCUGAGGCGCGAAAGCUAGGGGAGCAAACGGGG
rnacentral:rRNA from 1 species